UGACUAAAUACUUUUUUGCCCCACUGUAUGUAGUACAUUAGAUAUUUCAGUUGUAGCUGGUAUCAAGUUUGAAUGAAAGGUUUAUAGAUCCUUAUAAGGGUUAUAGUACCUGGUUAUAUUGCAUAAGAGUAAGGGAGGAUAAAUAACUGCGCAUUUUUAUUAUUUAAAUUGAGUGAUUCGAACUGACGUAUGUUUGUAAGGUUUGAGUGAUUCAACCGUAUAUGUUUGCAGGUUGGAGUGAUUCAACCGUAUAUGUUUGCAGGUUGGAGUGAUUCGAACUGACGUAUAUUUGUAAGGUUUGAGAGAGUCGAACCGUAUGAUUGUGGUACAUUGGGUAUUAAGUCGAUGUACUAAUACCAAGUUUAUAUGACCUUCGGGUAAAUAACAGGUGUGAGACCUAGGUUAUGUUUUGAAACGGUAAAGGAGAAGUGCACGGUGUUUACUAGACAGUGGCUAGAUUGGGACACAUUCUAAGGCAGCACUCAAUUGAACCUGAUAAUUUAUAUUGUAUUCAAAUUAAACAAGUAAUUGAAAUACAUUAAUAAAUGGCUAACCAAGAGGCAGAGAAUGUGUUGAAAACAUUGAAAUCAGCAUUAGAGGCCAAUGGAGGAAAAGAGGGAAAAGAUUGGAGAAAGAAAGGAGAAAUUACACAGAGGAUGGAUAAAAGAGGGCAGUAUUGCCGCGCCCAACGGGCUCCCAGUCGACGGGGAGCCUGCUUAAAUACUGGUGACAUAGACUAAAAUUCAUUCUGAUUGUAAUUCAAAUAUUUAUAGGUUUUGCAUCAUGGGGAACAAUGAAAGGCCCGCAAAGUGGAUUGCAGGCUGAGUUUAUUUUAUGUUAAAGGGACAGUGUACGUUCUUCACAGUUGUGUGUGUCUAAUGGCAGGGUUUUUAAGAAGUAUUUUGGGGAGAAAAUUUGGAGGAAGAUUGAAUGAGUUACAUGAGACAUUGAGUAAAUUUAAAACUAAUGAUUGGAGGGAGUACAUUUUCAUUUUCCCAGAGACAUGAUAUCUUAAGGGGGUACACUCACAUAUGAAAUAUUAUACGUUUUUAUUUUCUGAGUCUUAAUUAAAUAGGUGAAAUAUUUUGAUAAAGGAAUGUUGUUUAAUAUAGUAAGAAACACUUCUUUGGAGGGGUGGUAUGACUUAUGACCUCCAUUGUAACUUUCCUUUGUGGUCUGAUCAGCCUCAUUGGAAAGCCAUUUGGAUGGAGAAUCUAGGGUCAUUUGUAAUAGUGAUAUUAAGGUAAUUUAAUACAAAAAGACAGUGAAAUUUACAUUAUAGUGUCAUAUUUGAUGAAUGUGGUGUGAAAAUUAGCUAGGAUAAGUUUGAAUUAUGGUCGACUCAUGUUAAGUAUUUGGGACAUAUUUUGAGCCAACAGGGCUGGGAAGAAAUUUAGAUAUUUGUGUUUGGUUUUAACACCUGUGUACAGGAGUACCUGUGUAAUGGGGGAGGGUGUCCAUAUGGGAAUUACAUGAUAACCAACUUGGGAGUGUUCUGGGAUUGGAGAAGUGGGUAUCCUUAUAGCAUAGGGGAUCCCACAAAGGUGGAUAGGUUUUCCAUGAUAUGGGGGAAACCUGGGAGCACUGUUGAACUCUGUAAAGGUGAUGAAAUCCUACUAACCAUGAAAACUAUUAAGCUCUCUGAUGCAGGCACUUACACCCUCGGACUACAAAGGACCGGGACAGGCACGAUGGGUGUGUUUUCUAUGAAGGUGCUGCCAAAACCACAGAGGUCCCAGACGAACCAGAGCCAGACACACUCCUCUACCACCCCUGGACCGAGCCUGCCACCCACCACCACUGUGUCAAAUCCCAUUCAGGCCUAAACCAAACUAGUGGUCUGGCCGAUGUGUGGUGGAUAUGUGGACCCAAAAGAAUACUGAGACCCAUUCUUAGAGGAGACUGACAAGUCCUGAUGGUAGUAUAUCUAAGGCCCUUAGUGGGCUUGAUGCACUAUCUGCUGAGAUGAGGACCAUGGCGGGGGUGGAGGAGUCUGGACUGUUCUCUUGGUUGGGAGCCUGGUUUGGUAAGUACACUGGUAUGGUGGUUACUGGAUUUCUGACCCUAAUUCUUGUAUUUUUAUUAUUGAUGUGUUGUGCUGCUUGCAUCAUACCGUGUUUUAAGAAGUCUGUUACAGAUGUGGUGAAGGCUUCAGGCAUGAUGCCUUUGCUUGAUGCUCCAGUUGGAGAUGCUGAUACUGAAUCAAGCUUUCAGGGAGGAUGGGACUGAUUGAGGAUGACCCAUGGUAUGCUGUGGGUGAGGUAGUAGAAUAAAUAUUACACCACCACAGUUCCUUCUUUUACAUUUUUGUUUUAUGAUACGUUUUCUUUUCAGUAUGUUUGUUCUCCCUGUUGUGAAGGUUUGGAGUCCCUGGGUGGCAUGGAGCCCACCUGGUACAGGAUAGGAGUAGCUGAGAGGACCAGAUGGUUUAUAAUAAUGCUUUACUCUGUUUUCCAUGACCAAAGUUUUAUCCUAUAUCUUACAGUCAAUAAACAAUAAAGUUUGAUCCUGUUUUUGAUAAGUGACACCCUUAUGGGUGUCAAAAGGGGGAGACAAAAGCAUAUAUCACUUGUUGAUUUUUUAUUUAAUUUUUUUCUUGGUUGAUUUUUCUUUUCUUCUGUAAAAAAAAAAUAAUAAUAAUGUUUUAUUAAUAAUAAACUUUGUAUUAUUUUCAUGAAAUGCUAUUAACAUAUUACUAUGUUGGGACCACUAAAAUAAAGGACAAUGAGUGACACCCUUGUGGGUGUCAAAAGGGGGAAUCAAAAACUCCAGUUUAUAUAUAUGUUAAUCAACAAAGGGAUGUGCAUCACUUCAUAUAUUCACAAAAUAAAGGUUUAAAGUUCCUGGGUUCAUCAGCAACCUAGUAUAUCGGAUGGUGUGGUUACACCACACAGGGGUGUAAAAAGGGGGAUUAUGAGGAUUCUGUGUUAUGCACUAUAGCCCGUUACCAUAUUAUGUGAUUGAAUAUUAUCUGCUGUUGGCUUGUGUGGAUGUAUGGAUGUAUGUAUGUGUUAUGCAACAUAGCUGACUUGAAACAUUGUUAACAGUUUCAAGGCCAUGGGCCUGUCUCAUGAUGGA
ensembl:lncRNA